rnacentral:rRNA from 1 species
UACAGAGGGUGCGAGCGUUAAUCGGAAUUACUGGGCGUAAAGCGUGCGUAGACGGUUAUAUAAGUCGGGUGUGAAAGCCCCGGGCUCAACCUGGGAAUUGCAUUCGAGACUGCAUGGCUAGGAUGCGGAAGAGGGAAGCGGAAUUUCCGGUGUAGCGGUGAAAUGCGUAGAUAUCGGAAGGAACACCAGUGGCGAAAGCGGCUUCCUGGUCCAGCAUCGACGUUCAGGCACGAAAGCGUGGGGAGCAAACAGG